AGGACGAACGCUGGCGGCGUGCUUAACACAUGCAAGUCGAGCGGAAAGGCCCUUCGGGGUACUCGAGCGGGCGAACGGGUGAGGUAACACGUGAGCAACCUGCCCCUGGCUCUGGGAUAGCCUCCGGAAACGGGGGAUUAAUACCGGACAUUCUCCGCCUUCCGCAUGGUUGGCGGUGGAAAGUUUUUUUCGGCCGGGGAGGGGCUCGCGGCCUAUCAGCUUGUUGGCGGGGUAACGGCCCACCAAGGCGACGACGGGUAGCC
rnacentral:rRNA from 1 species